AUGCAAGUCGAACGAGGUCAGUUUUGUAGCAAUACAGAGCUGACCUAGUGGCGAACGGGUGCGUAACACGUGACUUACCUGCCUAAAAGUGGGGGAUAGCUCGCCGAAAGGCGAAUUAAUACCGCAUGUGAUCGCAAGAUCAAAGCAGCAAUGCGCUUUUAGAUGGAGUCGCGGCCUAUCAGCUUGUUGGCGAGGUAAUGGCUCACCAAGGCAUUGACGGGUAGCUGGUCUGAGAGGACGACCAGCCACACUGGAACUGAGACACGGUCCAGACACCUACGGGUGGCAGCAGUCGAGAAUUUUUCUCAAUGGGGGAAACCCUGAAGGAGCGACGCCGCGUGGAGGAUGAAGGCUUUCGGGUUGUAAACUCCUGUCAUCUGGGAACAAAACUCGCAAGAGCGUGAUAGUACCAGAAGAGGAAGAGACGGCUAACUCUGUGCCAGCAGCCGCGGUAAUACAGAGGUCUCGAGCGUUGUUCGGAUUCAUUGGGCGUAAAGGGCGCGUAGGCGGCGGGGUAAGUCUGGUGUGAAAUCUCGGAGCUCAACUCCGAAAUUGCACUGGAUACUGCUCUGCUAGAGGGCUGGAGAGGAGAUCGGAAUUCACGGUGUAGCAGUGAAAUGCGUAGAUAUCGUGAGGAAGACCAGUGGCGA
rnacentral:rRNA from 1 species